UGGCAGAGGUUACUGCUAUCGAGGUUCGACUAAGCCAUGCGAGGUCGAAUGUAGCAAUACAUGGCGUACUGCUCAGUAACACGUGNHCAACCUACCCUUAGGCCUGGGAUAACCCCGGGAAACUGGGAAUAAUACCGGAUAUCUCGCGAAUGCUGGAAUGCAUCGCGAUAGAAAGCUCCGGCGCCUAAGGAUGGGUCUGCGGCCUAUCAGGGUAGUAGUGGGUGUAAUGUACCUACUAGCCUACGACGGGUACGGGUUUGUGAGAGCAAGAGCCCGGAGAUGGAUUCUGAGACACGAAUCCAGGCCCUACGGGGUGCAGCAGGCGCGAAAACUUUACAAUGCUGGCAACAGCGAUAAGGGGACCUCGAGUGCCAGGAUACAAUCCUGGCUGUCGUAAUGCCUAAAAAGCAUUGCAUAGCAAGGGGCGGGCAAGACCGGUGCCAGCCGCCGCGGUAACACCGGCGGCUCGAGUGGUAACCGCUAUUAUUGGGUCUAAAGGGUCUGUAGCCGGCUGACUAAGUCUCUUGGGAAAUCUGGCAGCUCAACUGUYAGGCUUUCAGGAGAUACUGAUCGGCUCGAGACCGGGAGAGGUGACACGUACCUCAGGGGUAGGGGUGAAAUCUUGUAAUCCUUGAGGGACCACCAGUGGCGAAGGCGUCUCACCAGAACGGAUCUGACGGCAAGGGACGAAAGCUAGGGGCACGAACCGGAUUAGAUACCCGGGUAGUCCUAGCCGUAAACGAUACUCGCUAGGUGUCGGGCACGGUGCGACCGUGGUCGGUGCCGUAGGGAAGCCGUGAAGCGAGCCACCUGGGAAGUACGGCCGCAAGGCUGAAACUUAAAGGAAUUGGCGGGGAGCACUACAACGGGUGGAGCUUGCGGUUUAAUUGGAUUCAACGCCGGAAAUCUCACCGGGACCGACAGCGAUAUGAAGGCCAGGCUGAAGACCUUGCCGGAUUAGCUGAGAGGUGGUGCAUGGCCGUCGUCAGUUCGUACUGUGAAGCAUCCUGUUAAGUCAGGHAACGAGCGAGA
rnacentral:rRNA from 1 species